rnacentral:rRNA from 1 species
AUCGAUGAAGACCGCAGCUAAAUGCGCGUCAGGAUGUGAACUGCAGGACACAUGAACACCGACACGUUGAACGCAUAUUGCGCAUCGCACGACCCAGUGCGAUGUACACAUUUUUGAGUGCC